GAGGCUCAGAGAGGGGAAGCGCCCAAGGUCACACAGCUGGGAUGUGGCAGAGCUGGGGUUCCAGCUCCUGUUCCCAUUGCUGGACAGCUGCCACAUCUGGCACCCAAUUUAGGACCCCGCGGGGAGGCCCAAGCCCCGGGGGUGGCGGGGGAUCCUAGAGGAAAGUGGCAAGGCCAGGACCCUGGAGCAGAGCCAGAAAACUGAGGCUCUGAGAGAUGAAGCUACUUGCCAAGGUCACGCAGCACAGUCACAUCCUACUGAACAUCAUCCUGUUCUCUGGGUGGAAUGUCACCAUCGCCCAGGUGGGGAUUUUUGUGUGUUUUGUUCACUGCUGUACACCCAGCCCCCAGCACAGCGCCUGUCCAGGACAAGUGCCCAGUAAACACUUGGGAAGCAAUGCAAGCGUCCUCCCAGCAGCUCCUGCAAACAGACCCCCGACCCAAGCCCUUCCUUCUGCCUCCACUGCCACCACUGCUGCUCAUCUCUGCUGGCACAGAAGUCUCUUCCCUGGUCUUCCAGAAAUCCCCUCUCCACACUCAGCCAGAGGGAGCUAUUAAAACUGUGGGCCAGCCCACAUCAGUCCACAGCAAAGUCCUCUCUAAGGGAUCUCUGUUGCUUGGAGAAUAAACCCUCGGAUUCCUUCCUUGGCU
rnacentral:lncRNA from 1 species